rnacentral:rRNA from 1 species
GAAUUUGCAACAAUGGGCGAACGCCUGAUGGAGCCACGCCGCGCGUGUGAUGAAGCCUUUCGGGUAGUAAAGUAUUGUUGGAUGGGAAGAACAGCUAGAAUAGGGAAUGAUUCUAGUGUGACGGUAGCAUACCCGAAAGGGGUGGUUCAACAUGUGCCAGCAGCAGCGGUACUUUGUAUGUCCAGAGCGUUAUCCGGAUGUAUUGGGCGUAAAGGGAGCGCAGGCGGUUGAUUAAGUCUGAUGUGAAAGCCCGGAGCUCAACUCCGGAAUGGCAUUGGAAACUGGUUAACUUGAGUGCAGUAGAGGUAAGUGGAACUCCAUGUGUAGCGGUGGAAUGCGUAGAUAUAUGGAAGAACACCAGUGGCGAAGGCGGCUUACUGGACUGUAACUGACGUUGAGGCUCGAAAGUGUGGGUAGCAAACA